rnacentral:sRNA from 1 species
AGGAGCAGCGUGCCAGAAGCCUGCUCGACGACAGCAAAGGUACGUACGCUCACAUAUAACAUUUGCUUAUUCAAGUUUAUUUCAACUGGUCUUUGUUGUUUGAUGAUUGACCAAAGGAGUCCUGAG